GAGUGAAUAAUCUCCUCAUGCAAACUACUAAUCCGGUAACUUGACAAAGUACAAAUAACACCGUACCGAAAGAAAGUUUUCGUGUACUGUUGACAUACAUCCUGUAAAUGAAUUACAUUUCUAAUUUUGUUGCAGAAAUAAUUACAAUAUAGAAAACAACAUUCGUAAAUAUGCAAAUGACGAAAUUAUAAAUAUAAAUAUUCAAUAAUUUUCUUUCCAUGAUUGUACACUUGUUUGUGUAAUAUACACCUAAUGAAGUACGCUAACAUAGGGAUAGGGAUUUUAGUUGGAAAAUUAGUUAAAGUUUACUGAUUAAAAUGAGGAUAAUAAUAAUACAUUAUUGUUUAUAAAAUCCAAUUGGCAAAGAAUUAUAACUAUGGCAUAUUUAAUGGGAAAUUUCCACAAAAACAUGAUUUUACAGAAAAGUUAACUUCAAUCGUCUUCCUUGUCUUGUUAUUUGUAGCGCAAUUUUCUUUCUUCCUUCGCGUUCCAUCAAAAUGAAGCUUUUAAGUCGGAACAAAUGCAAUUUUUACCGAUCACUGUAAUGUAUAUGUUUCUCUGUCACUUUACAAAACGUACUAUUUAUUGCACAGUUGCGUUACGCAUUUGUUUGUUUUAAAAAGUCAGUGCGUUAUUUCUACUGCAAAGUAUUGAUAUUAUUUGCAGAUAAUCGCAUAAAAUACUAACAUAAUGUUUCCGAAUGUGUUCUCUUGUAAUUAUGUAUGGUUACAAUUAUCUCACAUCUUUGUUUUUUAAUUGGAUGAAAGUGUAUGUGUGUGUGUUAUACGUAUGUAAAAAUUUGGAUAUAACUUACAAACACACCUUACAUGGCCUUUGUGCGAAAUAUCGCAGAUAAUUGCUAUAUGUAUAUUGAAGUUGAUGGCUAUAUGGAUGUUGAAGUUGAAUCAAUUAAAAAACAAUUUCAAAACAGCUAACUGCCCCUCCUUCAGUUGUCUUGCUGGAAAGCUUCACUAAUGUCCAAUAUUUAUGCAUAUUUUCUCUACAAGUCUUCUGUACCUUUGUAACUACAAUUUUCAUUACCUUUACAGAUUUCAUAGUCACCUAUCAUCGCCGUUCCCCUACGACCCUCUCUUUUAGUUGUCUUGCCACAAUUUCGGAUUUUACAGCCACUGAUGAUCGCCACCUCCCUACGAGCCUCUCUUUAAGUUGUAUUGCCACAAUUUCAGAUUUUACAGCCACUGAUGAUCGCCGCCCCCUACGAGCCUCUCUUUAAGUUGUCUUGCUACAAUUUCAGAUUUUACAGCCACUGAUGAUCGCCGCCCCCCUUCGAGCCUCUCUUUAAGUUGCCUUACCACAAUUUCAGGCAAAUGUUUCCAAAAAGUUUGACUAACAUUCAAUUUUUAUGCAUACUUCUUACUACUGAAAAUUGUUAAAAGUUUAAAGUGUUACUAUUAAGUUAAACUAUAUUACUGUUUCUUCUGUUUUGUGACCUUUUCUAUUUGGCCGAUUGUCUGUUCAAAUUACAUAAAAUAUUUAAUUUUGUACAAGUGUAUUUGUUAGAUUCUAUUAGAACGUUUAUUUAGAACUUGUACAAGUGCGCUCUUUACAACCAUAGACAAGACUGAAAAAUUAAAAUACUACCACUGAUAAAUGACAGGAACUUAACAUCAACUAUAUUGCCAACUUAAAAUACCGCAAAUAAUAAAACUUAACUACUACCAACAUCAUCUCAACACUCCCACUUACGUAUUAAGUUUUACAUUACUUCUUAGUUUUACAAAUGUACAUCAAAAAUAUUUAAACUACAUGCUUGAACAAUGAAACAUAAUAAAUACAGCUAAACUAA
rnacentral:lncRNA from 1 species